AUUAGAGUUUGAUCAUGGCUCAGAUUGAACGCUGGCGGCGUGCUUAACACAUGCAAGUCGAACGAUGAAGCCCAGCUUGCUGGGUGGAAGAGUGGCGAACGGGUGAGUAACACGUGAGUAACCUGCCCUUCACUCUGGGAUAAGCGCUGGAAACGGCGUCUAAUACUGGAUACGACCCUUACAGGCAUCUGUUGGGGGUGGAAAGAUUUAUCGGUGAAGGAUGGGCUCGCGGCCUAUCAGGUAGUUGGUGAGGUAACGGCUCACCAAGCCGACGACGGGUAGCCGGCCUGAGAGGGUGACCGGCCACACUGGGACUGAGACACGGCCCAGACUCCUACGGGAGGCAGCAGUGGGGAAUAUUGCACAAUGGGCGAAAGCCUGAUGCAGCAACGCCGCGUGAGGGAUGACGGCCUUCGGGUUGUAAACCUCUUUUAGUAGGGAAGAAGCGAAAGUGACGGUACCUGCAGAAAAAGCACCGGCUAACUACGUGCCAGCAGCCGCGGUAAUAAU
rnacentral:rRNA from 1 species